rnacentral:lncRNA from 1 species
UUUUUACUGGUUUAUGGUUCAUCAUAGAAUUUUCAACAAGUUUAUUCGCGAAAAAUUAUUUGGGACCGUGAAUCAACAACGGCAAAUUUUGAUCCGCCAAAACCAAAAUCGGUGGCUGUCAAGCUACUCAGCAAAAAUAUUGUAGUUGAAGCCCCUGAACCAGAGAGUAAAAAAGCCUCCAACUCAGUUGCGAGGAAAAGUCUCAACAUAAGGCAUGGAAAUUUUACUUGUUUUUAAUUUUUCAUGUAGGCCCAUAUUAUUUUGCUACUUGCUGGCUUUUGUUCAAGAUAGUUCGAUCAUUUUUUGCGGGGCUGAGGGGGGAGGACUUCAGAACAAUUGUCUUUCUGUGCACGGUAAUUUAACAGAGUGUAGAUUCUGAUUAUUUUGCAGGAAAACCUGUCACGACAAAGGUUCUGAUCUUAUGAGAAAAAGUCAGUUACUCAGCAUGUAGAUUCUGAUUAUUUUAUUCUUUUUCUUAACCAUCUGUUUAUAUGUGCGGAGAAGAAGAAUCUGUGUAUCAUAUGGUGAUUCCAGCAUUAUCAACUGAAUGUUUCUGGUUGUGCAUGCUGGGUCAAUGCAUAUAACAUUUAAUUGAUAAUGACAAAAUCCAUCUGGUC